AAGUUUUCACUGAUUCAACUUUGUUCUAAGUUCAAUGAACAAGCACUUUGUUGUCUUCACUUAAAUGAAGUAGCCCUAACAAAACACGUCACAUGCUCGUUACUGCCACCUCUGGCCAGACCUGUUUACAUCACUUUGCCCUGUUGGAAGAAAAGCACAUGGAGGAAUCGUCUCAAUUUUCAUCCGACGUAAUCCGUCAAUAUUCAGUGUUUUUGAAGAGUGUUAAUGAAGUGGACCUGUAAACUGAGCCCAUUUUCAACGUGGAAUCAGAGGGUCAUCAGAAGACAUACUCUGACGCACGGACAGCACAGCCACUUUUGCCCCUUGCUCUGCUUGUUUUGACCUGAACGGACAUUUCUGUACACACAAUUGAUUUUUUAUUUUAUAGUGUCACCAGGUAUUAACAGAAUUGCCUGUUUAUCUUUUUUUUUUUGUUGUCAUAUUCUGCAUUCUGCAUUCACUGCAUCCUCACGGAAUUCAACUGUCUGAUGUCUGCUGAUCUCUUGAGAACCUUCCUCAGUGAACUUGAUGAAUAUCUGCCCAUGUUUCUUGUCCUUUUCAGAAAAAGGGACCCUGCCAUCACAAGCUCCAAGACAUUCUUAGAUGGCUUGAUGCUCAUGAUUCCAACAGAAUAAGCGAACAACAGUCCUGCUUGGCAUGCCCCACUUUCUUCGUCAAGAUACUUCCAGCAUUCUAAAGACCUGUGAGCCAACUGGUCCAGUUGAAGAUGUCUUAAAAGAAACCAGUGUGGGGAUCCUGAUCGUGUAUGAGGACUGCAGCAAAUGCGUGGUUCUACA